rnacentral:lncRNA from 10 species
AGCACAGCUAGAAUAAAGCAGGCAGAAGAAAGUGGAAAGAGAAGGCUUGCUGAGUCUUCUGGUCUUCAUCUUUUUCCUGUGCUGGAUGCUUCAUGCCCUCAAACAUCAGACUCAAAGUUCUUCAGUUUUUGGACUCUUGGACUUACACCAGUGGUUUGCCAGGGGCUCUCGGGCCUUUGGCCAGAGACCGAAGGCUGCACUAGAACCCUAACAUAUGAGUCAUGAACCAAAAGAUGCAAGUGGCUUUUAGAAGCUGGAAAGGACAAGAAAAUGGAUUUUCCCCUGGAUCUUCCAGAAGGAACAUAGCCCAGCAACCCAUUUCUUACUUCUGACUGCCAGAACUGUAAAAGAAUCAAGAGCUAAAUGGACUUCAAAGCAACCUCCAACCUUUCUCCCAAUAGGGAGAGAGAAAGACAAAUUCCCUUCUACUUUGUGCCAUUGUGAGACAUCAUGGUACAGCUGGGCUUUAAAACAGAUUCUGUUUUGUUCAAAGCUUGUUGUUAAAUAUUCAGAAGGAAAAGAGACAUGGCCUCAUUCAGAAAAGAAUGUCAGCAUUU